rnacentral:rRNA from 1 species
CACGGGUGGCAGCAGUGGGGAAUAUUGGACAAUGGGCGAAAGCCUGAUCCAGCCAUGCCGCGUGUGUGAAGAAGGCCUUCGGGUUGUAAAGCACUUUCAGUGGGGAAGAAAGCCUUGGGGCUAAUACCCUCGAGGAAGGACAUCACCCACAGAAGAAGCACCGGCUAACUCCGUGCCAGCAGCCGCGGUAAUACGGAGGGUGCGAGCGUUAAUCGGAAUUACUGGGCGUAAAGCGCGCGUAGGCGGUCUGAUAAGCCGGUUGUGAAAGCCCCGGGCUCAACCUGGGAACGGCAUCCGGAACUGUCAGGCUAGAGUGCAGGAGAGGAAGGUAGAAUUCCCGGUGUAGCGGUGAAAUGCGUAGAGAUCGGGAGGGAUACCAGUGGCGAAGGCGGCCUUCUGGACUGACACUGACGCUGAGGUGCGAAAGCGUGGGUAGCAAACAGGAUUAGAUACCCGAGUAGUC